CGAUGAUAGCUUGCUAUCAGGCGUCGAGCGGCGGACGGGUGAGUAAUACUUAGGAAUCUACCUAGUAGUGGGGGAUAGCUCGGGGAAACUCGAAUUAAUACCGCAUACGACCUACGGGAGAAAGGGGGCAACUUGUUGCUCUCGCUAUUAGAUGAGCCUAAGUCGGAUUAGCUAGAUGGUGGGGUAAAGGCCUACCAUGGCGACGAUCUGUAGCUGGUCUGAGAGGAUGAUCAGCCACACCGGGACUGAGACACGGCCCGGACUCCUACGGGAGGCAGCAGUGGGGAAUAUUGGACAAUGGGGGCAACCCUGAUCCAGCCAUGCCGCGUGUGUGAAGAAGGCCUUUUGGUUGUAAAGCACUUUAAGCAGUGAAGAAGACUCCGUGGUUAAUACCCACGGACGAUGACAUUAGCUGCAGAAUAAGCACCGGCUAACUCUGUGCCAGCAGCCGCGGUAAUACAGAGGGUGCAAGCGUUAAUCGGAAUUACUGGGCGUAAAGCGAGCGUAGGUGGCUUGAUAAGUCAGAUGUGAAAUCCCCGGGCUUAACCUGGGAACUGCAUCUGAUACUGUUAGGCUAGAAUAGGUGAGAGGAAGGUAGAAUUCCAGGUGUAGCGGUGAAAUGCGUAGAGAUCUGGAGGAAUACCGAUGGCGAAGGCAGCCUUCUGGCAUCAUAUUGACACUGAGGUUCGAAAGCGUGGGUAGCAAACAGGAUUAGAUACCCUGGUAGUCCACGCCGUAAACGAUGUCUACUAGUCGUUGGGUCCCUUGAGGACUUAGUGACGCAGCUAACGCAAUAAGUAGACCGCCUGGGGAGUACGGCCGCAAGGUUAAAACUCAAAUGAAUUGACGGGGGCCCGCACAAGCGGUGGAGCAUGUGGUUUAAUUCGAUGCAACGCGAAGAACCUUACCUGGUCUUGACAUAUCUAGAAUCCUGCAGAGAUGCGGGAGUGCCUUCGGGAAUUAGAAUACAGGUGCUGCAUGGCUGUCGUCAGCUCGUGUCGUGA
rnacentral:rRNA from 1 species